UACUCACAUCUUAAUAUCCUUUGAUAUAUGUCUUUCUUUACUGUCUAACACGUCAAAAAUGUCUUCAAAUCUAUUUAGAAAGUUGUGAUAGUUACAGGAAAUGAGCUUGGAUGUUAACAUGACUAGCAAUGUUGGUCUUCAAGGUUCCCUUGAUUCUGUUGGUGAAUCAAGUUGAACGAAUGGUUCAGAUGGGAACACACAACGAUAUAUUUCUUGAAAAACUGAUUCUAACUUUAUGGUUAAGAGUCUUACGCAUAAGAAACUUCAUCAGUUGGGCAUACGGUUUUAUCAAUCACUCAACCUCGACCUCUGGAAGCAGUCAACCUGCGUAAGGUCAACAAGGUGAGAGGCCACUGGAGUGCAAGAAACAGUGCGUAAACAUUUUAUAUGAUAUAUCAAGUUGCAUAGUCAGGGUGUGGUUUAUAUGAGAUCUCAAGUUUUGGAGGGUGAUUGGCUUAAAAAAAUUGGUUAUUUGGUUUAGGUCUUAUUUUUCAUAUGUAAUGUGUUUCUGAUCAUGAACCGGUUUGAGCAAAUAGUAUUUGUCAUUAAGGUAAAUA